CUCCAAACAUUAAGAUCUGCAAAGUUAGCUGGACACAUCCAGAAAAUUUACUGCAAAAUCUUUAGCAACAGCAUAAAUAGCACAGAGCAGACCCUUUCAUCACCAUUUAUUUCCAGUUUCAGUAAUAUCUAAGCCAAAAAAUGCAAGAACUGAAAUUAAUUUAAUCAGCUGCUGUUCUUAUUUGAGUUGAAUCAAUAUUCAAAUUUGUGUAUCUGCAUUUGAAAGCACCUGCCCUUUGACUUUUUAGCAGAAGUUUAUUCAAUCAUGCAGUGCCUUUGAUAACCCCAUCUUUUCUUCUUGCUGGCUUUCAGUUCCUCUAGAAAAGAUUCAGGUUUACCUCUGCCCUUGUUUAUUCUCAUUUGCCAUGGGUAAUGAUGGAGAUAGAUGGAUGUUUGUCAGAGCUGCAUUUUGUAGUCCCCAUGGUUGAUAAAUGUUCCUGGUCAAAGGCCAUGACAUUUAAGAAUCCUCCACAAGACCUCUGAGAUUUAGUCCGUGUACAGGGGAGAUGUUGAGAACUUCACGUCUAAAUUCACUGAUAUUUUAGCAGGGGGAAAACUAUAAAGAAAGAAAAAUUUCACCAGUGAAAUUAAUAUUCUAAUGAGAAAAAUCCAUUAUAGACUUAGAAGCAUGCUCUGUUCAAAUUUUAAGCACACCUUUCAAAGCCAUGUUCCAAUCUGAAGCACUGUGAGGGAUGAGAAUGACAAAUUGAAAUGCUUCAGUCACAAAGGACUCAACUUUUACUUCCUCCCCCACCCCACACCCAGUUACUGAGUGAAAGUAGGUUUUAAACAUCAAGGAGACAAUUUUUACAUGAUGGUUCCCCACAAAAAAUAUUUGAAUUCAUUACAUAUAUGUAACUAUUCACUACCCUUCAGGUGUGCAAAGCACCUGCUCUUGGCACACACACUGAUACACAUUAUUUACCAUGAGGAGUUUUGGCCAACAAUGUGUAUCCAUCAUCCAUCCAUCCAUCAUCCAUCCAUCAUCCAUCCAUCAUCCAUCCAUCAUCCAUCCAUCCAUCCAUCCAUCCAUCCAUCCAUCCCUGCAUCCAUCCACCAUCCAUCCAUCCAUCCA
rnacentral:lncRNA from 1 species